UGAGAAGAGAGCAAGUUAUGGCCACAGC
rnacentral:piRNA from 1 species